CUCAUUUAUGAAUACAUUUAUCACUUUUCUCUAUUAAAAAAGAAAAAGAAAAAGAAGCUCCUCCUCAAAGCAAAUGAGAUUUGUUUUGAGGAUCCUUAGUUUUAAGGUCCAAAUAUUUUCCUUUUAUUUUUAUCAAAGAUGGAUUCAGAUUUUCAAACCUGUCCAUCUCACCUUUAUCCUCUGGUCGCAUAUCAAAUAGUUCACCCCCAAUCCAUGAAGCCAAAUUUUUACUUUUACUAUUCAC
rnacentral:lncRNA from 1 species